UUAGUUUGAUCCUGGCUCAGGAUAAGUCGUAACAAGGUAACCGUACAGGAUAAGUCGUAACAAGGUAACCGUAAGUCGUAACAAGGUAACCGUAAAGUUUGAUCAUGUAGAGUUUGAUCCUGGCUCAGGAUAAGUCGUACAAGGUAACCGGUAUGUCGUAACAAGGUAGUCGUAGAGUUUGAUCAUGGCUCAGGAUAAGUCGUAACAAGGUAACUGUAGAGUUUGAUCAUGGCUCGGGAUAAGUCGUAACAAGGUAGCCGUAAGUCGUAACAAGGUAGCCGUAAGUCGUAACAAGGUAACCGUAAAGUUUGAUCAUGUAGAGUUUGAUCCUGGCUCAGGAUAAGUCGUAACAAGGUAACCGUAAGUCGUAACAAGGUAGCCGUAGAGUUUGAUCAUGGCUCAGGAUAAGUCGUAACAAGGUAACCGUAUGUCGUAACAAGGUAGUCGUAGAGUUUGAUCCUGGCUCAGGAUAAGUCGUAACAAGGUAACCGUACAGGAUAAGUCGUAACAAGGUAACCGUAAGUCGUAACAAGGUAACCGUAAAGUUUGAUCAUGUAGAGUUUGAUCCUGGCUCAGGAUAAGUCGUACAAGGUAACCGUAUGUCGUAACAAGGUAGUCGUAGAGUUUGAUCAUGGCUCAGGAUAAGUCGUAACAAGGUAACCGUAGAGUUUGAUCAUGGCUCAGGAUAAGUCGAU
rnacentral:rRNA from 1 species